rnacentral:rRNA from 1 species
ACCUGAGAAACCCAAAAGAUCGAAUGGGGAGAUUCAUCGUCAGCUCAUUUUAUAUAUAUGCUAGUUGUGAUAUGGGUUACUAUACUUCUGGUGUAGUAUUGCCUGUACAUUCUAGUAUAUUUAAUUGUAAGAUGUUGUCGGCGUGCACUUCUCCCCUAGUAGGACGUCGCGACCCGUUGAGUUUGUUGGUCUACGACCCAGGUGGUAGCUUUUAAUAAAUUUUUAUUUAUUAAAAACCCUUGGUGUUUUCUGACUGGCACUCGUCGGUAUUCGUAUGGUAUUGAGCCGCAUAUAUAUGCGUCCAUAUCUGUCGCAAGCGAGGUUAGUUUACUGAUAGUACGGACCUAGUGCCGUCGUUGGUACUAAUCAGCUGUUGGUUGUACAGAAUUCUAGGACUGGCUUAAAAAAAAA